rnacentral:lncRNA from 1 species
GACGUCUUCACCUAGCAACAUUAUGCAGUUAAUUUUGGCCCUGAGAUUGGGAGGCAUUUGGAAAAUUAAUUUUAAAGCCACUGAAACAACAACUUGUCUGCAGUGGUACCCUUCCUAGAUUUGGUUUGCUCAAUUCACUGAUGAACUUUAGAACACUACUUUUUAUAGUUAACUAAGGAACUUUGGAAGAAUUCCAAAUUCUGUUAAAUUGUGGAGUAUUUGUUGUCUCAGUCGUCAAUCACUCUAGAAAGUAGCUGCGCCUAUGGUCCUAAAAAAAAGCAUCAAAACGCCAUUUUUCCAUUGGGAAUAGACAACUUUUAAGCAAUAUUUCAGCAGAAUGAAUGUAUAAGAAGGAAUUGGUGCUGCUGAAACAACCGAUGCUUUUGUUGUUUUCACCUUGCAACAAUAUGCAGUUAGUUUUCGCCCUGAGAAUGGGAGGCAAAUGGAAAUUAAUUUGAAAACCACUGAAACAACAAAUUGUCUGCAGUGAUAUACCCUAGAUUUGCUUUGCUCAUCAUACUGGCAGACAUAGGAACGCUACUUUCUACGAUUGGUUAAGAUCGUUCAACAAAUGAGGGGGAGUUGGAAGUUCAGUUUGAUCGUACUGAAAUAACCAUUGUCUACAUAGGUGUGGUCUUUGGUGAACUACAUCCUUGAUUUGCUGUUUUUGUCUUCGCUUUCCAUCAUUAUGCAGUUAGUUUUGAACUGAUGAGUGAGAGCAAAUGAAUAUUUAUUUGAUUUCCACUAAAACAAGGAAUUUUCUGCAUUGGCAUUAUUCCUAGAUUUGGUUUGCCUUUCACACUUGCAAACUUUGGAACAUUACAAUCUACAGUGAAUUAAGGAACAUUGGAAGAAUUCCAGAUUCUGCUAAAUUGUGGAGUAUUUGUUGUCUCAGUCGUCAAUCCCUCUAGAAAGUAGCUGCGCCUGUGGUCCUAAAAAAAAGCAUCAAAACGCCAUUUUUCCAUUGGAACGGAGACAGUGUGCUGUUGUUGUAGAAAGGAUUUAUGACAAUGAACUGAUUGUCGUAACAGAUAAGAAGGAAUUGGUGCUACUGAAACAACCGAUGCUUUUGAUGUUUUCACCUUGCAACAUUAUGCAGUUAGUUUUGGCCCUGAAAAUGGCAGGCAAGUGAAAAUUAAUUCGGAAGUCAC